UCCGUGUCGCAGCUAACGCAUUAAGUUCCCCGCCUGGGGAGUACGGCCGCAAGGCUAAAACUCAAAGGAAUUGACGGGGGCCCGCACAAGCGGCGGAGCAUGCGGAUUAAUUCGAUGCAACGCGAAGAACCUUACCAAGGCUUGACAUAUAGAGGAAAAGCGUAGAAAUACGCUCCCCGCAAGGUCUCUAUACAGGUGGUGCAUGGUUGUCGUCAGCUCGUGUCGUGAGAUGUUGGGUUAAGUCCCGCAACGAGCGCAACCCUCGUCCUAUGUUGCCAGCACGUCAUGGUGGGAACUCAUGGGAUACUGCCGGGGUCAACUCGGAGGAAGGUGGGGAUGACGUCAAAUCAUCAUGCCCCUUAUGUCUUGGGCUUCACGCAUGCUACAAUGGCCGGUACAGAGGGCAGCAAUACCGCAAGGUGGAGCGAAUCCCAAAAAGCCGGUCUCAGUUCGGAUUGAGGUCUGCAACUCGACCUCAUGAAGUCGGAGUCGCUAGUAAUCGCAAAUCAGCAACGUUGCGGUGAAUACGUUCCGCGGCUUGCAC
rnacentral:rRNA from 1 species